rnacentral:rRNA from 1 species
GGAGACGAACCAACAGGGAUUGCCUUAGUAACGGCGAGUGAAGCGGCAACAGCUCAAAUUUGAAAUCCGGCUCCCUCGGGGCCCGAGUUGUAAUUUGGAGAGGAUGCUUCGGCUGCGACCCCGGUCUAAGUUCCUUGGAACAGGACGUCACAGAGGGUGAGAACCCCGUAUGUGGCCAGGUGUCAACGCCAUGUGAAGCUCCUUCGACGAGUCGAGUUGUUUGGGAAUGCAGCUCUAAAUGGGAGGUAUAUUUCUUCUAAGGCUAAAUACCGGCGAGAGACCGAUAGCGCACAAGUAGAGUGAUCGAAAGAUGAAAAGCACUUUGGAAAGAGAGUUAAAAAGUACGUGAAAUUGUUGAAAGGGAAGCGCUUGCAACCAGAUUUGGACGUAGUUGCUUAGCCGGGCCUCAUGGCCGGCGCACUCUUCUACGUCCAGGCCAGCAUCGGUUCGGGCGGCCAGAUAAAGGCCGUGGGAAUGUAGCUCCCCUCGGGGAGUGUUAUAGCCCACGGUGGAAUGUGGCCAGCCCGGACCGAGGUCCGCGCUUCGGCUAGGAUGCUGGCGUAAUGGUUGUAAGCGGCCCGUCUUGAAACACGGACCAAGGAGUCUAACAUCUAUGCGAGUGUUUGGGUGCGAAACCCAUGCGCGUAAUGAAAGUGAACGGAGGUGGGAGCCCUUACGGGCGCACCAUCGACCGAUCCUGAUGUCUUCGGAUGGAUUUGAGUAAGAGCAUAGCUGUUGGGACCCGAAAGAUGGUGAACUAUUCCUGAAUAGGGUGAAGCCAGAGGAAACUCUGGUGGAGGCUCGCAGCGGUUCUGACGUGCAAAUCGAUCGUCAAAUUUGGGUAUAGGGGCGAAAGGUACGUUUGAUCGAGAAAUCCCCCCUCCGGGGCGUAAACGGUGGAUGGAAAUGCUAACAUGCUCUUCUUUCCGACUAAUCGAACCAUUUAGUAGCUGGUUCCUGCCGAAUUUCCCUCAGGAUAGCAGAACGAUUUCAGUUUAUGAGGUAAGCAAUGAUUAAAGGCUGGGGGUGGAACACCUUCCCUAUCUCAACUUUAAUUGUAAAAGCCUUG